rnacentral:rRNA from 1 species
AUUGAACGCUGGCGGCAUGCCUUACACAUGCAAGUCGAACGGACCCUUCGGGGUUAGUGGCGGACAGGUGAGUAACACGUGGGAACGUGCCCUUUGGUUCGGAAUAGCUCCUGGAAACGGGUGGUAAUGCCGAAUGUGCCCUUCGGGGGAAAGAUUUAUCGCCAUGGGAGCGGCCGAUAUCAGAUUAGGUAGUUGGUGGGGUAAAGGCCCACCAAGCCAACGAUCUGUAGCUGGUCUGAGAGGACGACCAGCCACACUGGAACUGAGACACGGUCCAGACUCCUACGGGAGGCAGCAGUGGGGAAUUUUGGACAAUGGGCGAAAGCCUGAUCCAGCCAUUCCGCGUGCAGGAUGAAGGCCCUCGGGUUGUAAACUGCUUUUGUACAGAACGAAAAGGUUUCUACUAAUACUAGGAGCUCAUGACGGUACUGUAAGAAUAAGCACCGGCUAACUACGUGCCAGCCGCCGCGGUAA